UCACAAAACCUAUCUAUGAAAGUUUUAUAACGGGCAAGUUGAUUAAAUGAAUAUAGACGUGUUUUUUCCCCUAAUGACUUAAACCUGUAGAUGAAGUGAUUCAACAUAUUUAUGGAUGCUGAGUGUAUAUUAACAUGGUUUUUUUGACAGUCGAAUGAUUCUUUGGUUAGUUCGCCACCAAAAGGGGGGGACGGAAGGUUGAUUUACUUCCAUAUAGCUGAUGAACAAGGGCAAAUUGAUGAGGGAUUUGAAGAACUUUGCAUUACAUUCAAAGGAAAUGAAGUUCAAGAAUUGGCAAAGAGGCUUGAGGAGGAAUUAGGAAUCGAUGAUGUUGUUGUGUGCACUCGUAGCCCUUUGAAUGGGAAGCUUUAUCCUCUUCGUUUGCAGCUUCCUCCCAAUAAUGCAACUAUGCAUGUUAUCGUGGUUUCGACCUCGUCCCAAGGUAAUCUUUUACUCUAAUUACGUUGUACAUGCUACUAGCCUUUGUUUCGACCUCGAGGAUUUGAAUUUAUAUGUCAACUUUAUUCAUCGAAUUUUAGCACUUACCCACUUGUCUCGUUUUGCCAUUUCAGUGGGUCAAGAGUUGGCGAAAACCUUUGCUCCAUUUUAGAAAGAAACCAGAAGU
rnacentral:lncRNA from 1 species